rnacentral:rRNA from 1 species
UACGGGGGGAGCAAGCGUUGUUCGGAAUUACUGGGCGUAAAGGGCUCGUAGGCGGCCAACUAAGUCCGACGUGAAAUCCCCAGGCUUAACCUGGGAACUGCGUCGGAUACUGGAUGGCUUGAAUCCGGGAGAGGGAUGCGGAAUUCCAGGUGUAGCGGUGAAAUGCGUAGAUAUCGGAAGGAACAUCAGUGGCGAAAGCGACUUCCUGGACCAAUACUGACGCUCAUGUGCGAAAGCGUGGGGAGCAAACAGG